rnacentral:lncRNA from 1 species
CCGGAGUAUAGUGCUUGAUUCUAUUGAGAAGAAACGAGGCUAAUGUGGACUGGGAGACACACGGGACCUAAUCAGCCUCAAGUUAGCCCUUUUGAAACCUCAUUAUUGCACAGCUGAGAGUGGCUUGAAACAAAGGCUUGGAGAAUGGUGGAGAGAAACUAGGAGAAAAGCACAGGAUGUAGAGGUCUAUUCGGCAUAAUCUUCUCCCUCAUUUUCAUCUUCACCAUCAACAGAGAGAGCAGCAUACUUGCUUGCAGAACUGAACUUCUGUAACACAACGAGAGUGACAGGAUAAUGAAGGCCCUGAAUUAUCACAUCAAAACCCAAGACACAGGAUACUGAUCCUUUGGCAAUGGGGGAUGACAGUCAGAUGACACCCACUUGCUUGCUCAUCAGCAUUGUCCAUUGGAGAGGAGCUAGGGAAGAGGGUCAGAGGCACAUGCGAUCUUACUAUAGUCUCAUACCACCUCUACACCUUGCAGAAGGGAUGAGAACAAAGGAAGACAGAAACCAGGAAAAAGCUAAACUUCUUUCGCUAUUUCAGUAAAGACCAAUGUCUUAUUUCCAAACACUUUGUAUUCCAAAUGGAAAGAAGUCCAACGGCAAAAAGUUUAGAAUACUAAGAAUUUUUAAUUCUUAGUAAGAAUACUUAGAAUUCUAAGAAUUUUUCUUAGAAUGAAAAAUUGGGAGCAGCCUUCAACACUUACGGAAGCUGGAUUUUCCUCAGGUUUCUUUGGCUCAGGUGCAGAUCUGGAGUCUUGAUCCUUUUUGCCAUCUUUCCUGCAGAGACGUAAGCAUAAAACCAUGUCUUUAGGAAAGGACUCGCCUAAUACAAACAUGUGUAUGCAUGCAGUUUCAAGGCACUGAACAGGCACCUCUAGUCAACAGUCCUUGUUGUCUGGAUGAUGUAUUACUUCUAGAUUUUCAGAAUCUUAACUGUCUACGUUGGCUGACUUUAGUUUGCUCACAAUGAGCGAUCUGGCAGUGCUCUGAGAACCAAGAACUUAAUUUCUUAAUUACACAAACAUGUGGAUCAGAGGAAAGAUGAGAAAGAGAACAAGCAUACCUAUCUGACUCCUUCCAGUGGUCUCUGUUCCCUCCGUCGCCUGGACCACGGCUAGAGUUCCCAGUUUGGCCUUUUGGGGCAUUCAUCCCAUCUACUUUAUUUUCAUCUGCUUGGGCAGUAAUGUAAACAAAUUAAAGGCAAGUAAAAGUAUCAAUGUCCCUCUCCUAAGAUUUCCCUUAAGCUGAAGAAAAUUGUGCCCACAUGUACUGAGGGAAACUAACCUCACCCCAACCCAGACUUCCUUCCUGAAGCCCUUCUUUCCACAUCCUCUACAGCACACAAAAAUACAAAAAACAAACAAAAUCCACUAAAAAGUUCCAUGUAGGGAUAUGCCAUCAUGAAAAGCA